AUGAAAUAAUGACUAUAAUUAUUUCACCUUUCCCCUGAGCUCAAUGUCAAUGUAUACUUUAUACGAGGCAAUAAUAUUUCAGAAGCUAUCUUUGAUUGGCAACAACUUGAGUUCAAUUACAAUUCUAAAGAAUGUAUUUUGUAGCUUUUUGAAAGGCCUAUCAAAUGGUGUGUUUAGAUUAGCGAUUGCUUUAAUUUAUAAUGUCAGUAAUUUGCCCCGGCCCUCUCUCCUAGGUUGGUUGCAGGAAUAUGAAGCGUCUCAUGCUGUACGUGAGUGACAGUCUACCAAUGUACACUCUGGACUGGCCCUGGGUGGACUAAAACAAGUUGCUAGUACGUUCCACGUUCUGUGUGCAGUGUACAAAGCUGUAGUGGCCAGAGAACCAGACUAGAAGUGUCUACUCUGAAAUAAUUUUCUCUCUCUCUCCUUCAACGAACAUCAGCGAAUCUUUCAAGAGAUUGGGAAUUAAAGACACUUCGCAAAAUAUUCUCCUAUAGUGGCACUGCAUUCAAAUGAGGCUGAUGCAAAGGCGUCUGAUUUAUUGGGCAUGAUUGAGGGUGACCUAACACCAUUGCAAGGCAUCCACUCGUGUAAUAAUACACAGAGUAUAAUCAAGGAGUACAAGAUUCCUUCUGAAGAGCUGAUCAUAAUUAUACUCACUAGUGAACUGUGUAGUUACUAGGCUAGUCAUCAAACACGUUACCUAGGUCACCAUAGUUAAUGUGUUGUGUGGUGGCUAUAAUCAUUAUCAAGAGUUCAUGAACUCUUGUCAUUAUCAACACCCACACAUUCUACUUCUCUAGAUCUAAUGGAAGUCUAUAAACUUGCAUAUAGACGCCUUUUGAGUGGGCCAAUAAUAA